GACGAACGCUGGCGGCGUGCUUAACACAUGCAAGUCGAACGGGUCUGCCCUGUUUUUUGCGGGGUGGGUCAGUGGCGAACGGGUGAGUAACACGUGAGUAACCUGCCCCUCACUUCUGGAUAACCGCUUGAAAGGGUGGCUAAUACGGGGUGUUCUGGCUGUGCCGCAUGGUGUGGCUGGGAAAGAUUCACUUUUGUGGUGUUUUGGUGGGGGAUGGGCUCGCGGCCCAUCAGCUUGUUGGUGGGGUGAUGGCCUGCCAAGGCUUUGACGGGUAGCCGGCCUGAGAGGGUGGGCGGUCACACUGGGACUGAGGUACGGCCCGGACUCCUGCGGGAGGCAGCAGUGGGGGGUAUUGCACAAUGGGCGGAAGCCUGAUGCAGCGACGUCGCGUGAGGGAUGGAGGCCUUCGGGUUGUGAACCUCUUUCGCCGGUGAAGAAGGUCCUGCUCUUUGUGGUGGGGUUGACGGUAGCCGGGUUAUGAAGCGCCGGCUAACUACGUG
rnacentral:rRNA from 1 species